rnacentral:rRNA from 1 species
GGAGCUGAAGUCAGUCGAAGAUACCAGCUGGCUGCAACUGUUUAUUAAAAACACAGCACUGUGCAAACACGAAAGUGGACGUAUACGGUGUGACGCCUGCCCGGUGCCGGAAGGUUAAUUGAUGGGGUCAGCGCAAGCGAAGCUCCUGAUCGAAGCCCCGGUAAACGGCGGCCGUAACUAUAACGGUCCUAAGGUAGCGAAAUUCCUUGUCGGGUAAGUUCCGACCUGCACGAAUGGCGUAAUGAUGGCCAGGCUGUCUCCACCCGAGACUCAGUGAAAUUGAACUCGCUGUGAAGAUGCAGUGUACCCGCGGCAAGACGGAAAGACCCCGUGAACCUUUACUAUAGCUUGACACUGAACAUUGAGCCUUGAUGUGUAGGAUAGGUGGGAGGCUUUGAAGCGUGGACGCCAGUCUGCGUGGAGCCGACCUUGAAAUACCACCCUUUAAUGUUUGAUGUUCUAACGUGGACCCGUUACCCGGGUUGCGGACAGUGUCUGGUGGGUAGUUUGACUGGGGCGGUCUCCUCCUAAAGAGUAACGGAGGAGCACGAAGGUUGGCUAAUCCUGGUCGGACAUCAGGAGGUUAGUGCAAUGGCAUAAGCCAGCUUGACUGCGAGCGUGACGGCGCGAGCAGGUGCGAAAGCAGGUCAUAGUGAUCCGGUGGUUCUGAAUGGAAGGGCCAUCGCUCAACGGAUAAAAGGUACUCCGGGGAUAACAGGCUGAUACCGCCCAAGAGUUCAUAUCGACGGCGGUGUUUGGCACCUCGAUGUCGGCUCAUCACAUCCUGGGGCUGAAGUAGGUCCCAAGGGUAUGGCUGUUCGCCAUUUAAAGUGGUACGCGAGCUGGGUUUAGAACGUCGUGAGACAGUUCGGUCCCUAUCUGCCGUGGGCGCUGGAGAACUGAGGGGGGCUGCUCCUAGUACGAGAGGACCGGAGUGGACGCAUCACUGGUGUUCGGGUUGUCAUGCCAAUGGCACUGCCCGGUAGCUAAAUGCGGAAGAGAUAAGUGCUGAAAGCAUCUAAGCACGAAACUUGCCCCGAGAUGAGUUCUCCCUGAGACUUUAGGUCUCCUGAAGGAACGUUGAAGACGACGACGUUGAUAGGCCGGGUGUGUAAGCGCAGCGAUGCGUUGAGCUAACCGGUACUAAUGAACCGUGAGGCUUAACCUUACAACGCCGAAG